AAGACUAUACUUUCAGGGAUCAUUUCUAUAGUUCGUUACUAGAGAAGUCUCUCUGAAUGUGUAGAGCACUGGAAACCACCAGGAGGCGGCGCAGCGUUCUCUCCUGGGCGUGAAGCCGGCUCUUCAUGUUGCUUGACUGCAAUUGCCAUUUGCCGUUGGUAAUCGUUUUUCUCUCUUUGGAGUAAGAGGGAGAGAACGCAGAUUGA